rnacentral:rRNA from 1 species
AUUGAACGCUGGCGGCAGGCCUAACACAUGCAAGUCGAGCGGAUGAAGGGAGCUUUCUCCUGGAUUCAGCGGCGGACGGGUGAGUAAUGCCUAGGAAUCUGCCUGUUAGUGGGGAAUAACGUCCGGAAACGGGCGCUAAUACCGCAUACGUUCUGAGGGAGAAAUUGGUGGAUCUUCGGUCCUCACGCUAUCAGCUGAGCCUAGGUCGGAUUAGCUAGUUGGUGUGGUAAAGGCCUACCAAGGCGACGAUCCGUAACUGGUCUGAGAGGAUGAUCUGUCACACUGGAACUGAGACAAGGUCCAGACGCAUACGGGAGGCAGAAGUAGGGAAUAUUAGACAAUGGGCGAAAGCCUGAACCAGCAACGCCGCGUGUGUGAAGAAGGUAUUCGGAUUGUAAAGCACUUUAAGUAGGGAGGAAGGGAAGUAAGUUAACAACUUGCUGUCUUGACGUUACCAAAAGAAAAAGCCACGGAUAACUUCGUG